UACAGAGGGGGCAAGCGUUGUUCGGAAUUACUGGGCGUAAAGGGCGCGUAGGCGGCCUGUUAAGUCGAACGUGAAAUCCCCGGGCUCAACCCGGGAACUGCGUCCGAUACUGGCUGGCUUGAAUCCGGGAGAGGGAUGCGGAAUUCCAGGUGUAGCGGUGAAAUGCGUAGAUAUCUGGAGGAACACCGGUGGCGAAGGCGGCAUCCUGGACCGGUAUUGACGCUGAGGCGCGAAAGCCAGGGGAGCAAACAGG
rnacentral:rRNA from 1 species